UACGUAGGGGGCAAGCGUUGUCCGGAUUUAUUGGGCGUAAAGCGCGUGUAGGCGGCCACACAGGUCCGUUGUGAAAACUCGAGGCUUAACCUCGAGACGUCGAUGGAAACCGUAUGGCUAGAGUCCGGAAGAGGAGAGUGGAAUUCCUGGUGUAGCGGUGAAAUGCGCAGAUAUCAGGAAGAACACCCGUGGCGAAGGCGGCUCUCUGGGACGGUACUGACGCUGGGACGCGAAAAGCGUGGGGAGCGAACAGG
rnacentral:rRNA from 1 species